rnacentral:rRNA from 1 species
GAUGAACGCUGGCGGCGUGCCUAAUACAUGCAAGUCGAGCGAACAGACGAGGAGCUUGCUCCUCUGACGUUAGCGGCGGACGGGUGAGUAACACGUGGAUAACCUACCUAUAAGACUGGGAUAACUUCGGGAAACCGGAGCUAAUACCGGAUAAUAUAUUGAACCGCAUGGUUCAAUAGUGAAAGACGGUUUUGCUGUCACUUAUAGAUGGAUCCGCGCCGCAUUAGCUAGUUGGUAAGGUAACGGCUUACCAAGGCAACGAUGCGUAGCCGACCUGAGAGGGUGAUCGGCCACACUGGAACUGAGACACGGCCCAGACUCCUACGGGAGGCAGCAGUAGGGAAUCUUCCGCAAUGGGCGAAAGCUUGACGGAGCAACGCCGCGUGAGUGAUGAAGGUCUUCGGAUCGUAAAACUCUGUUAUUAGGGAAGAACAAAUGUGUAAGUAACUAUGCACGUCCUGACGGUACCUAAUCAGAAAGCCACGGCUAACUACGUG